CGUAUCCCCAUAUAAUACAGGUAUGGGCUAUCUCAUUAAAAAAAGUUAUCUGUUACGGAACAAUGUGAGACAAUUUGUGCAUUGUGUUUAAGCCAGGCUGCGGAAUGUUUAAAUAAGAACAAGACCGCUGAAUAAUUUUCCAGUGAUUUCAUCAUUGUUGUAAUUAUCAAUAUUGGCUAUUCCGCAUUUGCAUAACCGUAUCGCAGACUCAGAGUCUUUGACAGAUCACACAAACGCUCUAACUUAUCAAUGUUCGGGACUCUGGUGAUUAGCAAAGCAUUCAUUCACAGCUUGUCAGUUCGGUUAAACGCUGCUCUAGCCAUGAAGUGUUUUACGCUGGCUACCAUCUUCAUAACCUUCCUGUUUAUAACAGCAGGUUUCAGCGAAGAAGAAUCUGAGGCGCAGGUUUCCGUGACAGAUGAACCAGAAGCGAUACCUUCUACCACUCAGGAAUUAAUAUCGGUCGAGGUUGAUGGUGAAAACGACAAUCAAGAGGCUACUGUCGGAAUUAGCCAAGUAAACAUAAUUAUCGCCCCAAAGGUGUGUCCGGCAGGUCAAAAGCUUGACCACCGCGGUGUCUGUCGCAGACCUAUACAUUUUUAACUUGAGAUGUAAACGUUUUUGAUCUGACAUCAUGCGUCUUCAUUUAAUGUUUAUAAUGUUUACCAUGAACAUAUUCGUAAACAAGCAGCUUGAAAAUAUAAAUCUGCCCUGUUCUUGAUUAGUGUCGAAAAUUAAAA